rnacentral:tmRNA from 1 species
UAGAUUUCAUCUGUAUCUUCGAACGAACAAGUUUCUGCUCCGUUAGUAAACGGGCUAUGAUGGUAGACGUUUAGUGGAAUAGAAGUAUAGGACUCCGGGGCAGUACCGGACAGCUCCACCAUCCUUGUCUGGAUCUCGCAAGGGACUUACCGCCCAGACGCUAAGGAAAUAAGGCACCUCCCUGUGGUACAGGUCCGGGUAAUGCCGGUGAACAACUUGAAUAGCUGCUUUACCAUGGGGCUGAAGCAGGAUCGACUAGCUUAGUAAAGACGAAAUUGCCAUCCGGCAUGAUUCCGCCGUUAUCGGGUCGAACACUACAAGUGCCAAUGACAACAAUGUCAUGGAGAUGGCGGUCGCUGCGUAAGCCUAACGGCUGAGUAGAGACCAAUAUCACUGGGGUUUCGGCAGUUGCACCUUGCAACAGAAGCAGCUGCCACU